AUAUGUAGGUGGCAAGCGUUGUCCGGAAUUAUUGGGCGUAAAGCGCAUGUAGGCGGUAAUUUAAGUCUGUCGUGAAACUGCGGGGCUCAGCCCCGUAUAGCGAUGGAAACUGGGUUACUUGAGUGCAGGAGAGGAAAGGGGAACUCCCAGUGUAGCGGGGAAAUGCGUAGAUAUUGGGAAGAACACCGGUGGCGAAGGCGCCUUUCUGGACUGUGUCUGACGCUGAGAUGCGAAAGCCAGGGUAGCGAACGGGAUUAGAUACCCCGGUAGUCCUGGCCGUAAACGAUGGGUACUAGGUGUGGGAGGUAUCGACCCCUUCCGUGCCGGAGUCAACGCAAUAAGUACCCCGCCUGGGGAGUACGGCCGCAAGGCUUAAACUUAAAGGAAUUGACGGGG
rnacentral:rRNA from 1 species